rnacentral:rRNA from 1 species
UACAGAGACUGCAAGCGUUUAUUCGGAUUCACUGGGCGUAAAGGGUGCGCAGGCGGUUGGGUGUGUCAGAUGUGAAAUCCCGAGGCUUAACCUCGGAACUGCGUCUGAAACUACUCGACUAGAGUACUGGAGAGGGUAACGGAAUUCACGGUGUAGCAGUGAAAUGCGUAGAUAUCGUGAGGAACACCAGAGGCGAAGGCGGUUACCUGGACAGUUACUGACGCUCAGGCACGAAAGCAUGGGGAGCAAAAGGG